GCUUCCUGCUGGGAUGUCCCUUGCGGUGUUCGGCGGUGGCUUCUAAGGUGCAGCUUCUCUGUUAGGUCCUGACUGAACAGCACCCAUCCUGUAUCCAGUAAUCUCACUCCACCCUCCUCACGCGGCCUGGCGCCUUCGCUUUACCCUGCUGCUUUUUCACCAGGCUCUCUUCAGGUCAAACUGUGUGAGGGUGGAAGAGGUGGCUCUAUGGAGGCUCAAGCCUCUCCUGGGAAAGUGGUGAUUCUUCAUUUUCAUCUUAAACUAUGCCCUGCCUUCAGCAGGGAGGGGGAGAGGAAGUGGGGGGUGGGAACCAAUGCUACAGCGAAGGGGCCGACAGAGACAUGGGUCUCCAAAGGAGAGUAGAAAACACAUCGCUUAGCAUGGAUUCGAUCAACUGCUGGUACAGCACAUCUCUAAUCUUCAUUGUGUACCUCAAAGCAUUCCGUCAUGGCCUCUGACUGCUCUUCUGAGCCUGCUCUGAACUGCCAAGGAGGGUUUGCUGUGUAGCUCAAUUGGGUCUUGGACUUGAGAUCUUCUUGCCUCCAUUUCCAAGGCAUAGAAUUCCAGGCACAUCCACCAAGUUGAAUGAUUAUGCCUGUGGAAGUGUGGCUUCUCCAUGGUGUGAGUCUAUCCUGAGGAUGGGUUCUCUUCAAGCAAG
rnacentral:lncRNA from 1 species